GCUUCGCCCCGCCCCGCUCCCGGAGGAUGAGACGUGGGAGCUGUUGGGUGGCGCGGGGAAAGGCGGGUGUAGCGAGGCGGUAGUUCUCGCUGUGAGAUCCGGGGUCCGAGCAGGCCCUUAGAUGAGUUGCAGAGAGGGACGUUCCUUCUCUCCUUCCACCUAGUCCUGGCGGACCUCACUGCGCCCCGCCAACGCUGUGAGCUCAGGCACUCUUUUCUCCCCCCUCUGCCCCAUUUCACACAGAAGUGUAAAUGGUCGGUCCAGUUGGCAGUGCUACUAAACUAGACCCAUGCUUCUUGUAGGCAGGGGCCGAGGAUUACCCAUGAUUGUGUUUCUGUUGCUCAGGGAUGGUCAAUGAACUAAUGCAAUCAUCUCAUCCUUAAUUCUCCCACUGCCACAUUGUAUUUUUCCCCUUUUAACUCUUUUUUAAAAUCAAUCUUUCUCUUUCUUUCUUUCCUUUCUUUCUUUCCUUUCUUUUCUUUUUCCUUCCUUCCUUCCCUCCUUCCCUCCGUCCCUCCUUCCCUCCUUGCUUCCUUCCUUCCUUCCCUACUUCCCUCCUUCCGUAGAGAUAGUGUCCCACUAUGUUGCCCAAGCUGGUCUCGAAUUCCUGGGGUCAAGCGAUCCGCCCACCUCGCCUCCCAAAGUGCUGGGAUUACAGGCAUGAGCCACCGCGCCCAGCUCUCUUUAUUCUACCAUCAAUCCCUUCGGUUAAACACCUUUGUUUUUGUAGGGAAAGCCUUGAAUAUGUGCUGCAGGGCAGGGUGCACUCUGAUAGGUACUUGAUUUUUGUUGACUGAAGAGCUGCAGGUUGAAGGGUGGUCACCUCAAUCCCUCGUUUGUACCUGCAGCUGCAAUGAAAAAGAUCAGAACCACUAGGAGGAACACAGCUCCUUCAAAGAGAAAGACUAAGUCUUGGGAAAGAAGCAGAUAAGUGAGGUGAAAUAUUGUCAGCAUCAUAGGUAUAGCCUUUGAUGCUUUUUACAAAACUUGCUUAA
rnacentral:lncRNA from 10 species